rnacentral:rRNA from 2 species
UGGGGAAUAUUGCACAAUGGAGGGAACUCUGAUGCAGCGACGCCGCGUGAACGAAGAAGGCUUUCGAGUCGUAAAGUUCUUUUAUAUGGGAAGAUAAUGACGGUACCAUAAGGAAAAGCCCCGGCUAACUACGUGCCAGCAGCCGCGGUAAUACGUAGGGGGCUAGCGUUGUCCGGAAUCACUGGGCGUAAAGGGUUCGCAGGCGGAAAUGCAAGUCAGGUGUAAAAGGCAGUAGCUUAACUACUGUAAGCAUUUGAAACUGCAUAUCUUGAGAAGAGUAGAGGUAAGUGGAAUUUUUAGUGUAGCGGUGAAAUGCGUAGAUAUUAAAAAGAAUACCGGUGGCGAAGGCGACUUACUGGGCUCAUUCUGACGCUGAGGAACGAAAGCGUGGGUAGCAAACAGG